rnacentral:misc_RNA from 1 species
CAAUUUAAUUAGGAAUCGUAAAUUUAAUCAAAUAGGAAAAAAAAAAUUGAAAAUUAAAGAAGAAAAAAAUUAAAGGCGGUUCUCUCCAUGGUUUGAGUCUCUGCGGAGACCUCUGCAGGAGCUGAAAACCCUAUUGAAAGAGUUGUAUCAGGGUUUCUCUACCAAUUUUCACAAAUUGCAAUUGCCAGAGUAAUAAGGUUCUGCCACACAUAUUAUACAAUUUUUCAAGGACCUUUUAUUUGCAAUGGAUUCACCUGAACAGAGCCGGAGCUGUGUGAAACGAGACACUGAGGAUAACUCAGAUGUGAAAAGUGAUAGAGCAGGGGAUGAUGAAGACUGGGAAGGCAGUGAUAGGAGGCAUCGGUCAAGCAAGUCUAGAAAGUUGAGCAAUGAAGAUGCUGAAGGAUUAGAUGGCAGUGGAAGAAGAAGAAGUUCUGGUGGGGACAGGAAUGAGAGCCAUAAGAGGUCAGGUGGUGGUUCUAGCAGAGCAGGUAGUGAUGAUGAUUAUGAAACAAGAAAAGAGUUNCUUGAAGCAAAUAAAGAAAAAAUAUGAGGAAAGUAGCUUGGAAAAGUUGAGCAGUUGGUACCAGGAUGGAGAAUUUGAGAACAGGCAGGUUGCAGAAAAAUCUGGAAGGAAAGGGCGCAGUCGGGCUGAUGAAAGUGAGAGGAGGAAUAUGACUUCGAAGAUCUCAGAACAUGAGAGUUCACGCAGUGGAACCAAAAGUAAAGAAGAAAGAUUCCAUGAUGGAGAGCAUGAGAAGUCACGAGAUAGAGAUUCCAGGUACUCAGAUAGGAGGGAAAGUAGCCGAGACAAGGCUCAUGGUUCUACUGAGCUGGGAAGAACUUCUAGGAGGAGAUGGGAUGAAUCAGAUGCUGGAAAGAAAGCUGAAGAAAGUCAUCAUGAAAAGGCUAAUAUCAGAAGUGUAAGGAGUUCUGAUUCCAAAUAUGAAAAUUCUAAAGAUAGCAGUGCUUCUGCAAGAAAUGAAACUGGUGAGAGUAAAAGUAGGGGUUUAGAUUCAAACAAUGAGAAAGGCGUCAAAGCCAACAACAGAGAAGAAACAAGAGCUGAUGGAGAGAGGAACAACAGCAAAAGCAGGUCAGAAGCUUUAGAAGAGGAUGAUAAAGGUAGUCCUAUUACUCGUGAAGA